CUUCGUACAUCUCUCCAACCGAGAUGAGAUCUCACAAUCUAACUCCUCCGAGACCCAACAUCUUCACUAGCACUAGUUCCUCUCUCAAAUCGACGUGGGAUCUCACAAAAAUUGUAAUGGGUAGGUCGGAUAAUUUAAGGUUAGAAAUAAACACACCGAGUCGGAGUGUUGUUAGUAUAAAGGGGAGGUAGAGACACCCAAUUUUGUUAUAAAGGAGGAAGGAAAGAAGAGAUGAAAUGUGAGAGAGAGAGAGAGAGAGAGAGAGAGAGAGAGAGAGAGAGAGAGAGAAGGUGCAUGAAGAGCAAGAUGGAGAAGCAGGGCACGUGCUGUGCUAACUCAAUUCGGUUCAAUUCAGAUCUGUUGGGGUUUUUGAGUUAGUUCUUCAUGUGCCCCUCUUCGCCAUCGUGACCACUGCGCCUUAAUUAAUCAACCCUCUGCUGCUUCUGCUUCUUCAUUGUUUUCAGAGAGCUACAAAUGUGCAAUGUGGGUUCAAAAAGGCAGCUGAAAUUGAAGUUCCAACAUCAUCUCUAUGUCGAUUCUAGUUUCCUUGUCCUGUUUUUUUUUUUUUUUUUUAGGAUAUCGAGGCUCAACUCUCGUUUGGGAACUUGUUAAUCAAAAUGAAUUUGCACCGACUUGAAAUGAUAAAAAGUCGAAUUCUAUUUGUCUAUAGAUUUGUGAAGUUUCUUUGUCUUUGAAUUGAAGUGGUAGCUGAGCCAAGUUGAGGGGAGAAAGAAAAAGGGAAAAUCAACCACAAGAACGUGAAUCUACCCAAGGUACUCACUUGAAAAAGAUCACUUCAAUGAUUUAUAAGUGAAGUUUUUUAACGGAGUUAAUAGGAAAUAGCUUUGUCUCAACGUCAGAAUCUCCUUUUUGCCUUCAAAUCUGAAUCGAUAAGAUGAUCAUUCUAAGCUAUCGCGCACAAAGGAGACUAGAAAGAUGUUUUAUCUUGAACUUUGUCUGUUCAUGUCCUAUUUAAAAAGUUUAAGCUAUGCAAAGGUAGAAAUAGAGACAUAUUUGACAUAGUUGGUUGUAUUAACUAGGAAUGAAUUAACAAUAUCACAAUGAAUAAACAUGUCUUUACCUAAUUA